AGAUCAGCCCUGGGGUUCAGAGGGAUCCUGACAGCUACUCCUCAAGAUCCUCUCUGUUGUGAUUCAUCCCCCCGGGGCCCUACAGUUUCUCCUUCCUGACUCUUACAUUUCUUUGGAUGGCAUCAUUAUUUACCUGUCUCCUCCCAUAGUUAGGUGCCAAGCACUGUGGAUUCUGCCUCUCAGUGUCCAGACACCCAUUUUCCUUCCCACUGUUCCUUCCCCAUGGAGAAGCCUGUGGCUGGCUGACAGCAGAGAGAGAUGCUCAACUUGGAGAAGGUGUUACCUGGGCCAGGUGGGGAAGGUUUGUUUGCAGAGCAAAGAAGUGAAGCCACCUCAAGAAAGAACAGUUCAUGUGCAGGUGACCAUGUAGUUCAAGUCAUCAUUAAAUCCAAAGCUGAGCAGCCGUGAUGCUAUUGGUGGAAUUGCCCUUGACCAAGAGAAAUCCAUCUUGAUUGUCUCAAUAAUCGGCUCAAGGACCACUGAUGAUGAGGUCCUAAAUUUAAUUCCUAAAAAACCACUAAAGUUAUAGAGGCAAAAUGAGAAAGCAUAGCUCACAAAUACCUUGUGACCAAUGACUUGCCUAUUCAACGUGAAAAAGAUGAGGAUGAAGACCUUUAUUAUGAUCCACUUCCAAGUAAUGAACACACUGGAGAAAGUCAGACAGU
rnacentral:lncRNA from 1 species